rnacentral:rRNA from 1 species
GAUGAACGCUGGCGGCGUGCCUAAUACAUGCAAGUCGAGCGAACAGACGAGGAGCUUGCUCCUCUGACGUUAGCGGCGGACGGGUGAGUAACACGUGGAUAACCUACCUAUAAGACUGGGAUAACUUCGGGAAACCGGAGCUAAUACCGGAUAAUAUAUUGAACCGCAUGGUUCAAUAGUGAAAGACGGUUUUGCUGUCACUUAUAGAUGGAUCCGCGCCGCAUUAGCUAGUUGGUAAGGUAACGGCUUACCAAGGCAACGAUGCGUAGCCGACCUGAGAGGGUGAUCGGACACACUGGAACUGAGACACGGUCCAGACUCCUACGGGAGGCAGCAGUAGGGAAUCUUCCGCAAUGGGCGAAAGCCUGACGGAGCAAAGCCGCGUGAGUGAUGAAGGUCUUAGGAUCGUAAAACUCUGUUAGUAGGGAAGAACAAAUGUGUAAGUAACUAUGCACGUCUUGACGGUACCUAAUCAGAAAGCCACGGCUAACUACGUG